rnacentral:pre_miRNA from 1 species
ACCACUGAGCCACCUUCCCAGCCCAAGGUCACAUUUUUAAAUAAAGGCCAUGGGGCUGGGAAGGUGGCUCAGUGGU